AUUGAACGCUGGCGGCAUGCCUUACACAUGCAAGUCGAACGGCAGCACGGGUGCUUGCACCUGGUGGCGAGUGGCGAACGGGUGAGUAAUACAUCGGAACAUGUCCUGUAGUGGGGGAUAGCCCGGCGAAAGCCGGAUUAAUACCGCAUACGAUCUACGGAUGAAAGCGGGGGACCUUCGGGCCUCGCGCUAUAGGGUUGGCCGAUGGCUGAUUAGCUAGUUGGUGGGGUAAAGGCCUACCAAGGCGACGAUCAGUAGCUGGUCUGAGAGGACGACCAGCCACACUGGGACUGAGACACGGCCCAGACUCCUACGGGAGGCAGCAGUGGGGAAUUUUGGACAAUGGGCGAAAGCCUGAUCCAGCAAUGCCGCGUGUGUGAAGAAGGCCUUCGGGUUGUCAAGCACUUUUGUCCGGAAAGAAAUCCUUGGCCCUAAUACGGUCGGGGGAUGACGGUACCGGAAGAAUAAGCACCGGCUAACUACGUG
rnacentral:rRNA from 1 species